UGGGGAAUCUUGGACAAUGGGGGCAACCCUGAUCCAGCCAUGCCGCGUGUGUGAAGAAGGCCUUCGGGUUGUAAAGCACUUUCAGUAGGGAGGAAGGCUUAUCCUUAAUACGGAUGAGUACUUGACGUUACCUACAGAAGAAGCACCGGCUAAUUUCGUGCCAGCAGCCGCGGUAAUACGAAAGGUGCAAGCGUUAAUCGGAAUUACUGGGCGUAAAGCGCGCGUAGGCGGUUUGCUAAGUCAGAUGUGAAAGCCCCGGGCUCAACCUGGGAACUGCAUUUGAAACUGGCAGGUUUAGAAUGCAGUAGAGGGAGGUGGAAUUUCCGGUGUAGCGGUGAAAUGCGUAGAGAUCGGAAGGAACCCCAGUGGCGAAGGCGGCCUCCUGGACUGACAUUGACGCUGAGGUGCGAAAGCGUGGGGAGCAAACAGGAUUACAUACCCUGGUAGUCCACGCCGUAAACGAUGUCAACUAGCCGUUGGGAGCCUUGAGCUCUUAGUGGCGCAGCUAA
rnacentral:rRNA from 1 species